rnacentral:rRNA from 1 species
UACGUAGGGGGCAAGCGUUGUCCGGAAUCAUUGGGCGUAAAGAGCGCGUAGGCGGCCCUGUAAGUCCGCUGUGAAAGUCAAGGGCUCAACCCUUGAAUGCCGGUGGAUACUGCAGGGCUAGAGUCCGGAAGAGGCGAGUGGAAUUCCUGGUGUAGCGGUGAAAUGCGUAGAUAUCAAGAGGAACACCUGAGGUGAAGACGGGUUGCUGGGCCGACACUGACGCUGAAGCGCGAAAGCCAGGGGAGCAAACGGG